UACGUAGGGCGCAAGCGUUAUCCGGAAUUAUUGGGCGUAAAGAGCUUGUAGGCGGUCUGUCGCGUCUGCUGUGAAAAUCCGGGGCUCAACCCCGGACUUGCAGUGGGUACGGGCAGACUAGAGUGUGGUAGGGGAGACUGGAAUUCCUGGUGUAGCGGUGAAAUGCGCAGAUAUCAGGAGGAACACCGAUGGCGAAGGCAGGUCUCUGGGCCACUACUGACGCUGAGAAGCGAAAGCAUGGGGAGCGAACAGG
rnacentral:rRNA from 1 species